GAUUUAACAAUGACAAAUAAUUUAAUAGAUGUUAUUGUUAUAUAUUAGAUUUGUUUUAGAAAUUUAUGUAGGUUGUGUGCAUGGAAGAGAAAAAUGGUUAAGUGGUUAGGAUGUAAUUUUAAAUUCCAUUAAUUCAUGUGGAUUUUGAAUUAAAAAUUAUGAUUGUGUUAGAUUUUAAAAAAUAAGAUUAAUUAAGAAAAUC
rnacentral:lncRNA from 1 species